rnacentral:misc_RNA from 1 species
ACGAAGUGUUGGGGAUCCCAGUGAAUGCAAGUGGCCAUGAGAUUAAGGUAGCUUACAGGAAACUAGCAAGAACUUGGCAUCCUGAUGUUGUGUCCGUAAAUCAGAAGGAUAUGUCAGCGAACGAGUUCAUGAAAAUCCAUGCGGCUUAUUCGACCUUGUCCGACCCUGAUAAGCGCGCUAAUUAUGACAAGGAUCUUCAUCGGCAUCGCCAGCGGCCAUUUAGGUUCUCUUCUCUCAAUUCUGCAACAAUGGCAGCUGCUUCUGGUUAUGGUUAUUCUGGUAGAAAUUGGGAGACUGACCAGUGCUGGUAGUAAUUUUUCUUUUUUAGAUUUCUUCAUUUUUUUCUCGUCGAAAUGUAUUUAGCUGAAAAGGGUUGUCGAUUCUGAUGCUCUGUUUUACAUAUUCUCUGCACUAGAUUAAAACAGAGUAGAAGACAAGAGAAAUGACAUCUGUAUGAACGUGGAU